rnacentral:tRNA from 2 species
GGGUUGUUAGCUCAGUUGGUAGAGCAGCGGACUCUUAAUCCGUCGGUCGACAGUUCGAGCCUGUCACAACCCACCA